rnacentral:rRNA from 1 species
AUCAAAGGUGAGCCAGUACAGGAUGGACCCGCGUCUGAUUAGCUAGUUGGUAAGGUAACGGCUUACCAAGGCGACGAUCAGUAGCCGACCUGAGAGGGUGAUCGGCCACAUUGGAACUGAGACACGGUCCAAACUCCUACGGGAGGCAGCAGUGGGGAAUAUUGCACAAUGGGCGAAAGCCUGAUGCAGCAACGCCGCGUGAGGGAUGAAGGCCUUCGGGUCGUAAAACUCUGUCCUCAAGGAAGAUAAUGACGGUACU